rnacentral:rRNA from 1 species
GAUGAACGCUAGCUACAGGCUUAACACAUGCAAGUCGCGGGGCAGCAUGGGGGUUGCUUGCAAUCCCCGAUGGCGACCGGCGCACGGGUGAGUAACGCGUAUCCAACCUGCCCUUCACCACGGGAUAACCCGGCAAAAGUCGGACUAAUACCGUAUGUUGUCCAUUGACGGCAUCCGAUUUGGACGAAAGGCUUGGCGGUGAGGGAUGGGGAUGCGUCCAAUUAGCCAGACGGCGGGGUAACGGCCCACCGUGGCUACGAUCGGUAGGGGUUCUGAGAGGAAGGUCCCCCACACUGGAACUGAGACACGGUCCAGACUCCUACGGGAGGCAGCAGUGAGGAAUAUUGGUCAAUGGGCGUAAGCCUGAACCAGCCAAGUAGCGUGCAGGAUGACGGCCCUAUGGGUUGUAAACUGCUUUUAUGCGGGGAUAAAGUGGCCCACGUGUGGGCUUUUGCAGGUACCGCAUGAAUAAGGACCGGCUAAUUCCGUG